CAGUCUGUGGGACGAGGAAGGGAUAGAAGCUCAGGGCGCCGGCGGGCAGCGGCAGGAGGCGGACGGUGGCGUUGCCGAGGAGGCGUACGGCCCCGAGCGGGUGGGCGGCAGCGCUGCCAACCUCCUCGGGUAGCGGGGUAGGCCGCGGGCCGCCGGGACGGCCGUUGGUCGUUCGGAAAUGUAGUGACCGGUACCUUAGGGACUUUACCUCCUGUUCGAAACACGACAUUUAGACCACCUGGCGCAUCUUCAGAAACUGCCGGUCACUUUACGACCAAGCACGAUGAAAAGGGUGGUCGCUCGGGUCUAACUCCUAGUGAGGCUGUACCUUGAGCAGACGAAACGGC
rnacentral:rRNA from 1 species